AUGGAGAGCCAGAGGACGAGUUCGACUAAGAGGAGUUGGAAGGGGAGCAAGGGGAGGAAGAGGAUGAGUCAGAAAUGGAGGAGGACAAGGAACAAGAAGAUCUCAAAUGAGAUUAGGGCUACAGUAGUCGAUCAUGUGAUAAACCAUGGUUUAACAAUGAGAGAGGCUGGACUGAGAGUCCAGCCUAAUUUGAGUAGAUUUACUGUGGCGGGUAUAAUUCGAACCUUUAGAAAUGAGAACAGUGCACUGCAUUGGUCAGAGAAGGUUCUUUCCACGGUGUCUGGCAAGAGAGAAUAUAGCAUGUGACGUGGAUGAAGUAUUGUGGCCGGACCCAGCCUGGAGGAGAGCCUAGAUACACCCAACCAUCUCCACAUGCAAGCACACACAUUAUGUUUGGUUUUACACUACAUGCUACAACACUACAUAUUUUUGAUGUGUUUUUUUUUCUUUUCAAACUGUGUACACUAAUACUACAUUUACAACCACAAAGAGCAAAAAAAAAAAAACAUAAAACGUUUGGUUUCAAUUUUGCUUUUGUUUUUCACUUUAUAUAUUCAACAGCUCUCUCCCAAUUACAUUCAAUCAUGUACAUGUGAGCUUUUAAAAGAAGAGCUUUAGGUUUUGAAUAACAGUGUGUAUAUGACAUAAUCAAAAAUAUAACAUUAUGGUAAAGGUGUUUACAACGUAAGACAAAUGUUUGCUUUUGAAAUAUGUUUGUGAUAUUUUGACUGUGGUGUUUCAUUUUGAAAGAGAUGUGAGGCAUUUUGCAUCUUGUGUGUGCAAUUCUUGAAUUUGUGUGUUAAGUUUUGAAAAAAAUAGGAAACCUUUGGAAAAUGUUUGUAAGCAGUUGAAAAAAACUGUAAAAACAAUCAAGCCCUGCUCAUAUUUAAAAAGUAACGUGAAAGUAACGCAAAAGUAAUGUAACACAUUACUUUCCAAAAAAAGUAACUAAGUAACGUAUUUAGUUACUUUUUUAGGGAGUAACGCAAUAUUGUAAGGCAUUACUUUUAAAAGUAACUUUCCCCAACACUGGAUAACACUCUCUAAACCUUACUCCUUCUCUCCUCAUCCUCCACUUCUUACAUGUACUCUUCCUCCUCUCCUUCUCAGAUUGUUUCCAUCUAUUGUUUGUAUCAUCAUUCAGUCACCUGUGCCAUUAGUGCACUCUGAACUGGCUCAUAUUUUGAACAGUUGGUUUGAUCACAUCAUUAGAAACAAGUGUGAAAAAUUUUGAAUCGUGUGUAUACGAUGACAACUGUUGUGUUUAACUUUUGCCGCCUGUGGUUAGCAUUUUGCAGCACAAAUGCAUCACAGUGUAAGUGUUUAAGUGAAUGAGAAUGUGUUUAGAGUUUUGCAAAAAGAGUGCAUGAGAUUUGCAAAUAGAGCCUAACUGGAUGAAUGUGUUUAAAGUUUAGCAGAAAGAAUGUUUUAUACGACAAAUUGGUUUAAGCUACUGAGAAUUUGGUUCAGAGAUUGGGGUUUAGUGUUUUAGCAAUUCAGAAAAACUGUAAUGAGACCGCAUACUUGGAUGAGGUAGAGAAACUUACAUCAUGGUGCCAGGACAAUUGUCUCUCUCUGAAUGUGAGCAAAACUAAAGAGCUGAUUGUGGACUUCAGGAAGAGACAGCAGUAGCCCUAUACUCCUCUUAUGAUCACCGUGACCCCUGUGGAGAGGGUGAGCAGCUCCAAGUACCUUGGUGUAAACAUCUCCGAGGACCUGACUUGGACUACACACAUUCAAACACAGGUUAAUAAAGCCAGGCAAAGACUGUACCAUCUGCGACAGCUGAGGAAAUUCAGGGUCUCACCAGCAAUCCUGAAUACUUUCUAUUCAGGGGCCAUAGAAAGUGUAUUGACUCAGUGUAUAUCAGUGUGGUAUGGGAACAGCUCCAGUCAAGACUGCAAAGCCCUGCAGAGAGUUGUGCGCUGAGCGCAUCUCAGGGUCUGCUCUCCCCUCUCUGCAGGACAUCUACCUCAAACGCUGCAAAAACAGAGCUGUUAAAAUCAUCAAGGACCCCAUCCACCCCAGUAACCAUCUUUUCACUUUGCUGCCAUCUGGUAAGCGCUUCCGUAGCCUGAUGGCAAAAACCGAGAGACUUAGGAGGAGUUUCUUCCCCAGGCCAUCAGGCUCCUAAACUCAAAACUAGCCUCUUAACAUCUUCAUGUCUCCACUUAAUAUUCACUUUAUCAGUAAGAUAUUCAUCAUUCUCUACCUCACAUUGACAUACUGACAGUGUCAACCUGUUUGCACAUUUGCCUCUUGUACAUUCCUGUGUAUCUUAAUAUUUAAGACUACAGUAUUAUGCACAUUGCUUCUUGUACAUCCCUGGGUAUCUUAAUAUUUAAGACUACAGUGUACUUUCAUGUACAUUAUUUUCCAUUCUAUAUUUAAUUCUACAGUAUACAUCUUUUUUAUAUGUUAUUCUUAUAUUUUUAUUGUUUACUUUUAUUUCAUUCUUUCAUAGCCAUAUUUAUGUAUAUUUUCAUCUGUGUUGUAUUCUUUAAUAAUUGCGCUGUCCAUGGAGCGGACCUGACUCACAUUUCACUGCUGGUUAUAUAUGCUCUAUAUAAUUGUGUAUGUGAAAGAAAAAAAAAAAAAAAAAAAAAAAAUUUUAUUUUGGAAUACCUGAUUGCACUGCAUUUUAUGUAUUACUGUAUUUUAUGUAAAAUCAUUUUCUAGUUUUAACUGUCUUAAAUAAAAAAAUAAAAAAUAAUCAUUUUUAAAGUUUUUAAAUUCCUUGUUUUAUUUUUGUGACU
ensembl:lncRNA